CUGGGGCAGGGAGACACAGGUGCUGGGCCAGGGGCUGCUAGCCCUGUGGACGCUGUCCGUAGGAAGGUUUUUGCACACAGACACGUCGGUGAAUGUGGCAUUUCUUGCGUCCUAAAUGAAAACGUGCAGUGGCCAAGGAGCUGGGGAGGGUACCUCCCAGGACGCACGGAAGCUCGCUCCGCAAGAGAGCCUGGUGUCUGUGCACGCAGCCUGCGGCUCUGCAGGGACCGGCCUGGCCUGCUCCCCGACCCUGCUCUUUCUGCCCCUUUGCCAAUUUAUCAUCCUGCACAGAAGGGAAGAGACCAGAUGGAUUGGGGCCAGAGCUAAUACUAAUGCACUUCUAUUUAUGAGUAAUCAUUUUUAACAGAAAAUGGGAUUUGCUGUCCUGGAGAGAAGGUCAGAUGGAGACUAAACCUCUCAUCGUGAGAAGCUGGUCUCAUCGGGUGAAAUCAAAAAGGCAGAGGGGCUAACGGUCAUUGGUGCAAGGCAGGGCAUCAAAAGCGAGGCAUAGGAAUCCGCCCGAUUAAAAAGCCAUCUUUUUUCACGAGGGGAGAAAAUGAAUAAUUUAGCUGCUGCUGGGUACAGCCAGCAGUCUUGUAUCUGGAACAAGGCCUGAAUAAAAACAAGAUGACCCAAGAGCUAA